GAAUGUUGAGAUUAAACUUGAAGUAGCUGGAAUUACCCUGAGAUUGGUAAAUGUUGAAUAAUGGUUUUCUGAUC